CGGAUGGUGAUGAACUAAUUUCAGCAUAAUCCAACACUUGAACUGAGGACCUUCAUGUCCAAGUGCUGAAUCCCUUCUAAUGCUUCUGAAUCCGA